GGGGUUGUGGCUCAGUGGUAGAGUGCUCACCUGGCACGUAUGAGGCCCUGUUCGAUCCUCAGCACCA
rnacentral:tRNA from 1 species